rnacentral:rRNA from 1 species
UACGGAGGAUGCAAGCGUUAUCCGGAAUGAUUGGGCGUAAAGCGUCCGCAGGUGGCAAUGUAAGUCUGCUGUCAAAGCGUCUGGCUCAACCAGAUAAAGGCAGUGGAAACUACAUAGCUAGAGUACGUUCGGGGCAGAGGGAAUUCCUGGUGUAGCGGUGAAAUGCGUAGAGAUCAGGAAGAACACCGGUGGCGAAGGCGCUCUGCUAGGCCGUAACUGACACUGAGGGACGAAAGCUAGGGGAGCGAAUGGG